rnacentral:rRNA from 1 species
UACGUAGGGGGCUAGCGUUGUUCGGAAUUACUGGGCGUAAAGGGCGCGUAGGCGGUGUGUCAAGUCAGGCGUGAAAGCCCCGGGCUCAACCUGGGAAUUGCAUUCGAGACUGAAUAGCUAGGGUGCGGUAGAGGGAAGCGGAAUUUCCGGUGUAGCGGUGAAAUGCGUAGAUAUCGGAAGGAACAUCAGUGGCGAAAGCGGCUUCCUGGACCAGCACCGACGUUCAGGCACGAAAGCGUGGGGAGCAAACAGGA